UCCGAGUUGACCCCGGCAGUCUCCCAUGAGUCCCCACCAUUACGUGCUGGCAACAUGGAACGAGGGUUGCGCUCGUUGCGGGACUUAACCCAACAUCUCACGACACGAGCUGACGACAGCCAUGCACCACCUGUGCACGGCCCUUACGGACCCGACAUCUCUGCCGGAUUUCCGUGCAUGUCAAGCCGGAGGAAGGUGGGGAUGACGUAGACCUUGGACC
rnacentral:misc_RNA from 1 species